rnacentral:rRNA from 1 species
GUGUCAGCAGCCGCGCGGUAAUACCCGCAGCUCAAGUGGUGGCCACUAUUAUUGAGCCUAAAACGUCCGUAGCCGGUUUUGUAAAUCUCUGGGUAAAUCCUGCCGCUCAACGGUAGGAAUUCUGGAGAGACUGCAAAACUAGGGAUCGGGUGAGGCGAGAGGUACUCCUGGGGUAGGGGUAAAAUCCUGUAAUCCUGGGGGGACGACCGGUGGCGAAAGCGUCUCGCUAGAACGACUCCGACGGUGAGGGACGAAGGCUAGGGGAGCAAACCGGAUUAGAUACCCGGGUAGUCCUAGCUGUAAACGCUGCCCACUUGGUGUUGCCCUUUCCUCGGGAAGGGGCAGUGCCGGAGCGAAGGUGUUAAGUGGGCUGCUUGGGGAGUAUGGUCGCAAGGCUGAAACUUAAAGGAAUUGGCGGGAGAGCACCGCAACGGGAGGAGCGUGCGGUUUAAUUGGAUUCAACGCCGGAAAACUCACCAGGGGAGACCAUGGGGAUGAGUGUCAGCCUGAAGAGCUUACACGAUCACAAUGGAGAGGUGGUGCAUGGCCGUCGUCAGCUCGUACCGUAGAGCGUUCACUUAAGUGUGAUAACGAGCGAGACCCUUGCCCAUAUUUGCUAUCUUCUUCGCGAGAGGAAGAGCACUAUAUGGGGACCGC